rnacentral:rRNA from 1 species
GUCAACAGCUGUACCACCUCCAGGUCAGGCUUGGUAAUCCAUGGGUAGCUAAGCAGAUUUGGGCCUGGCCAGUACCUAGACGGGAGACCAACUAAGAAAGCUGUGGUCAGCUGCUGGGA